UAAAAAAAUAUGUUGCAUGUUGAAACACUAAGUGAUUUGUAGAGAUCAUGUAUUGUAUGCUUGUGUGUGUACGUGCAUGUGGGUGUGUACGUGUGCAAAAACUAACGUGAGUGAGCGAGCAGAGAUUUAGAAUUCUCUCUCUCUUUCACUGUCUUUGAAGGCAUUUGAGUUUCGGACUCUGAGGGAGGGGUGGUGGGUAAAAAGGGAAGAGGUCCUCCUUUUUGGUUGCUGUUAAAUUAUUUACAUUCCCGGUCCAACCAUCCCAAAGCAGAGACGGAACUGUCUCAUUCCUCAUUCAAAUACUUUUUCACUGCCAGAUGGGGAUGACCAUGCACAUCCCAGGCACGAACAUGGCCUCUUAUUGUGGCGGGGCCCAGCCCGGUGAUAGACCCAGACCCAGACAGACUAGGGGGUGACAGACAGGAAGACGGCCCAGACAUGAUUCACUGAGCUGGAGGGAGACAGCUCCCUCUCAUCCGUCUCUGGUUCUCACCGGGAGUCUGGAUCUAACUAACUGGCUGACUGUGGCUGCCCUCUGUCUGUCCCUCUCUACAGGAUAACUACACUAUGUUCUGGAUCUACUAACCUGGUGGAUAAUAAGGCCUGUCUGGAUUUUAACACCCUGGAUAUUGCAUCCAUAGUUGGUGUGUGUCUACCCAUGUCCGAUUUGAGGUUAUAGAAAGGAAAUAUCGUAAAAGAGGACACAGUGGAUCGGCACUCCGAAGUUAGUUUGUGUGGGUAUUUAUAGUGGUAUUGAAGCACAUGUAAACAUAAGAUACAUUUCAGAGAUACUGAGCCCAAAGGGACUGCCUGUGUAAGGUCUGUCUGUCUGUCUGUCUGUCUGUCUGUCUGUCUGUCUGUCUGUCUGUCUGUCUGUCUGUCUGUCUGUCUGUCUGUCUGUCUGUCUGUCUGUCUGUCUGUCUGUCUGUCUGUCUGUCUGUCUGUCUGUCUGUCUGUCUGUCUGUCUGUCUGUCUGUCUGUCUGUCUGUCUGUCUCACACUCGAUGCCAUGUGCUCCACAAUGGACCCUGGGUUUAAUGAUGAAUGGAGUUCCCACGCCUCUGUAAAGGAGAGGAGGGCACAAAACCCUCCUUUUAGCAUUCACACAAAAGAAAAAUAAAUUACACAUUUACACAGACAUGCGAUCACACUCAAACAUAUAAACACACUCCACACACUCAGAAUGUGAAAAAUGUGUAAGAAGAGACACUUAAUUACCAUAUUAUGAUUUUCGACCCAUAUGUUUGGUGAGGUUAAUAAUCAUAUUGACAGAGAUAAGUGCGACACCACUGCAUUUGUGUGAAUAUUGAUUGAUGAGACAGAGAACAGAAAGAAAUGUAGACCAGGCUAAAUUGCAUUCAGACCAUUUUUAAAGAUGUGAUUGCGAGGUUGUGUAAGUGUUUACGCGCACGUGUGUGUGAGACAGAGAGAGACAGAGAGGGUCAGACAGAGGGAGGGAGAGCCAGGGGGAGGUAGAGAGGGACAGGGAGGUGGAGAGGGACAAAUAAAUGGUAAUAAAGCUGGUUUUGUGGAGGGAAUCUAAAUGAAGCAUUGAAACAAAAGAUCUGUCUACACUUGGGUUUGUGGGAAAAUCUAACAGCUUAUUGAAGUUCAAAGACUGUAUGUGUGUGUGCGUGUGUGUGUGUGUGUGAAGAAGGAGCCAAUAAUAAUAGUUAAGUCAAUUUUAUUUACAUCAAUAUUUACAUUAUUCAGUUAUUUAAUUAUGGGGGUUUGCAUGACAAAAUGUCUUAUCAAUUAUACCAUUUUGAUCAAAAUGACAAAAAGUAUUGCACUUACAGUUUUUGCCAUUAUUACAUUGGUAUAAACAUGUCAGAACUUUAAUUAGUACUUUAAAACACAUUUACUUUUGCAUGAAAUUAUGGAAGUAAAUAUAAUUUCUUCAAUUGAGCAAUAAAAUUUGUAUUCAUUUUACAAUGUUAUAAUUUUGAAGUGUUAGCCGUUACACAUUCUUUAGGUUUACUUACUCUCACAUACUGUUGAAGUCGGACGUUUACAUACACUUAGGUUGGAGUUAUUAAAACUAGUUUUUCAACCACUCCACAAAUUUGUUAUUAACAAACUAUAAUUUUGGCAAGUCGGUUAGGACGUCUACUUUGUGCAUGACUCAAGUAAUUUUUCCAACAAUUGUUUACGGACAGAUUAUUUCACUUAUAAUUCACUGUAUCACAAUUUCAGUGGGUCAAAAGUUUACAUACACUAAGUUGACUGUGCCUUUAAACAGCUUGGAAAAAUCCAGAAAAUUAUGUCAUGGCUUUAGAAGCUUCUGAUAGGCUAAUUGACAUAAUUUGAGUACCUGUGGAUGUAUUUCAAGGCCUACCUUCAAACUCAGUGCCUCUUUGCUUGACAUCAUGGGAAAAUCAAAAGAAAUCAGCCAAGACCUCAGAAAAUAAAGUUUAGACCUCCACAAGUCUGGUUCAUCCUUGGGAGCAAUUUUCAAAUGCCUGAAGGUACCCCGUUCAUCUGUACAAACAAUAGUACACAAGUAUAAACACCAUGGGACCACGCAGCCGUCAUACAGCUCAGGAAGGAGACGCAUUCUGCCUCCUUGAGAUGAACAUAAUUUGGUGCGAGAAGCGUAAAUCAAUCCCAGGACAACAGCAAAGGACCUUUUGAAGAUGCUGGAGGAAACAGACAAAGGUAUCUACAUCCACAGUAAAACAAGUCACCUAACCUGAAAGGCCGCUAAAGCAAGGAAGAAGCCACUCUUCCAAAACCGCCAUAAAAAUGCCAGACUAUGGUUUGCAACUACACAUGGGGACAAAUAUCGUACUUUUUGGAGAAAUGUCCUCUGGUCUGAUGAAACAAAAAUAGAACUGUUUGGCCAUAAUGACCAUUGUUAUGUUUGGAGGAAAAAGGGGGAGGCUUGCAAGCUGAAGAACACCAUCCCAAUCGUGAAGCAUGAGGGUGUCAGCAUCAUGUUGUGGGGGUGCUUUUGCUGCAGGAGGGACUGGUGCACUUCACAAAAUAGAUGGCAUCAUGAGGUUGGAAGAUUAUGUGGAUAUAUUGGAGCAACAUCUCAAGACAUCAGUCAGGAAGUUAAAGCUUGGUAACAAAUGGGUCUUCCAAAUGGACAAUGACCCCAAGCAUACUUCCAAAGUUGUGGCAAAAUGGCUUAAGAUCAACAAAGUCAAGGUAUUGGAGUGGCCAUCACAAAACGCUGACCUCAAACAUAUAGAACAUUUGUGGGCAGAACUGAAAAAGCGUGCGUGAGCAGGGAGGCCUACAAACCUGACUCAGUUACAUCAGCUCUGUCAGGAGUAAUGGGCCAAGAUUCACCCAACUUAUUGUGGGAAGCUUUUGGAGGGCUAACCGAAACGUUUGACCCAAGUUAAACAAUUUAAAGGCAAUGCUACCAAAUACUAAUUGGGUGUAUCUAAACUUCUGACCCACUGGGAAUGUGAUGAAAGAAAUGAUAGCUGAAAUAUGUCAUUCUCUCUACUAUUAUUCUGACAUUUCACAUUCUUUUAAAAUAAAGUGGGGAUCCUAAGACAGGUAAUUUUUACUAGGAUUAAAUGUCAGGAAUUGUGAAAAACUGAGUUUAAAUGUAUUUGGCUAAGGUGUAUGUAAACUUCCGACUUCAACUGUAGUUUAGCAUCGACUUGUUAUAAACAAACUACAUACUUUACACAUUAUUUCAGGUGUGUGUGUGUUUGUUCUCCUCCAUGUCUUUGUGUGUAAUUGUUUAUUGUUAUGUGAAAGGUUCACACGCUAUACUUUUGUACAUGUUCUGUAUUUUCUUUUGGGCACUUCAAUGUCAUGUUGUGCUUGUUUCUUGACCGGAAUAAAAGUGCGCCUGUUAAAUCUA